ensembl:lncRNA
UCGGACCCUCAGAAGAUUCUGUGGUUACAGUCUCUCCUCAACCCAAGGCAUGAGACACAUGACUCUCCUCCUCCUGACAGCUCUGGUCGGGACCCUGGUCUCUGCCCAAAAUGCUUCCUCUGCUCUUACCAAGGAACCCUUCAUCACCCCAGCAACCCAGAAGAUUUCGACAGCACCUCCCAGCUCAGGAUUCAACCCACUGCAACUCGGGUUAGAUAAAGGUCUCUCAGCAGCCCAGGGAGUAAGAAGAAAAAUACAAGAAAAAAUUGAAGAAGGAAAGAAAAUCUUCGAAGAGGGGACUGAACUGGCACAAAGCCUAAGGAAAAAAUUCAUUCCAGUAACAUUGUUUCCUCGUUUUUUGAGAAGCUGAAGAAAUUGAGUCUCUGGACUUAACACCUUAAACAUACUUGUAGCCCAUAGCAAUUAAAGUGAGAGCAUCCA